GCUUGCCAAAAUCAAUGAUAUUGAUACCAGUGAUUGAUACAUAUUAUAUCUACCAUGGUCUCUUACACUGCGAGUAUUGAUAUUCUGCGCUACACUAAGUCGAAGUUUCAAAUGUUUGAAUAUUCAAGAAGAUAUUUCCAUCGAGUUUUUUAAGCUGAAGAAGCUUUUGAACGCUUUUUGGUCUAAGACAGAGCUUGAAAAAGCAAAAUUGGAAUAACGACGAAGAGUAUGAUUUUGUGAAUUUUAUGAAUUGCUUUUUCCGCAGAGUCAGAAUGAGAUAUAAUGCUUUGUGCAUCAGUAAGUACAUUAGCUGAUGGAAUUUGUCUUUACAAUGCUUGUUCUAUUGUCUUGAUUGCAAAUGAAAAUCUUUCCACCAUACUGUGGUGCCUCACCAGCAUUGAGUUAUAUGAAAAUGCUUCAUACUUUGGUUGAUGGAUCUUUUGUGGUACGAAAUGCGCCGGUUAUGGAAAACUUGAAUUUAACCCUGUAUUGUGAAGAGUAUAAAAGACUUUGCUUUGGAAGUGUACUUGAGGAACGUAUAGGGAGUAAAAGUGGAUCUUGGAGGCUUUCUAUGGUCAAUCUUUCGUACGCAGCCUGUUGAAAGUUAAGUUAUAAGAAAAAUGGUGGAGAUAAUUUUCAAUUACUUAGGAGCAUUUAACCCUUUUUUAUUACCAUAAGUGUUUUAAAACUCAUAUUUACUAUCGUUUAAUACAUUUAUUUUGCGAAAGCGUAAGCUUUACAAGUCUUUGAAAAAUAAAUAUGUCGCGAGAAAAUAGUCAUCAUAUUGUGGAUUUUUCUUUCAGUUACUCGGCUGUUUUAGUGGUGCCACAACACGUGACCGAUGACUCUUUGUUGCGCGUGUCUAAAAACCAUCGCCAUAUGCGUUCUCCUGUUGCGACGUGGAGACAUUAAGUCAAUAAAUUCGCCGUUUUAUUGCGAUCUCUGCCAUUGAACGAAGCUCUGUGGCAUUCAUCAUUUGCUCUGGUUUAGCUGCAAGUUGUGGAAGCACUGACGCAAUACUUCAUCCAACGUGGAGCAAGAUAAAUAUUUAUCUGCCGUAGUGUCUUCAAAUCCUGUAUCGUGGAAUAAAGUGGAGGCGAAACAUCGUUCACUGGAAGCCAACGUCAGCAUGUCUAAAGCAACGAUGAAUCUACGAUCAAAUGACAAUGCAUCUAAACGUGUUUCUGUUGUGGAUUCCGUUGACAAAGCAAUAUCUAAGCAAGGAUGG